rnacentral:sRNA from 1 species
AUGGUGAUGGAAGUAGUCACAUAAUGUCUGCUGUCUCUGAGAUGUGAGCAGACAUUGAUUGUUAUUGCCUAGAUCCUAGAUCCAUUAUUUUUUAGGGCUUGCACAGUGGCGAUUUUUUUCUUUUUAGCGUUAGUACCUUCAGAGUGCACAGUACUUACACAAUGGCGAUAAUUUAAUUUUUGGUCAUUCAUUCUUCAAAGAUAACUAGAAUAUCUUUAUAAAGAUAAACUUAUCAUCAAACAUUUGGUUAUCCUGGAUACAGUUCAAAUAGGAGUUAGAAGCCGCUCUUCACAGAGAUGACGUGGAGUUUAUCAGUGACCUGAUUGCCUGCCUGCUUCAGGGCUGUUAUCAACGAAGAGAUAUCACGCCUCAGACAUUCCACAGCUACCUAGAGGACAUCAUCAACUACCGCUGGGAGCUCGAAGAAGGGAAGCCCAACCCUCUGAGGGAAGCCAGUUUCCAGGACCUGCCUCUUCGCACACGGGUGGAGAUCCUGCACCGACUCUGUGAUUACCGGCUGGAUGCAGACGAUGUCUUCGAUCUUCUAAAGGGUCUGGAUGCAGACAGUCUCCGUGUGGAGCCAUUGGGUGAAGACAAUU